rnacentral:rRNA from 1 species
UACGUAGGUGGCGAGCGUUAUCCGGAAUGAUUGGGCGUAAAGGGUGCGCAGGCGGUCCUGCAAGUCUGGAGUGAAACGUAUGAGCUCAACUCAUGCAUGGCUCUGGAAACUGGAGGACUGGAGAGCAGGAGAGGGCGGUGGAACUCCAUGUGUAGCGGUAAAAUGCGUAGAUAUCACGAAGAACCCCGAUUGCGAAGGCAGCCUGCCGCAGCGUUACUGACGCUGAAGCUCGAAAGCGCGGGUAUCGAACAGG